AUGCGUAGAGAUCUGAAGGAAUACCGGUGGCAAUGGCGGCCUGCUGGACAGAUACUGACACUCAGAUGCGGAAGCGUGGGGAGCAAACAGGAUUAGAUACCCUCUUAGUCCACGCCGUAAACGAUGUCUACUUGGAGGUUGUGGCCUUGAGCCGUGGCUUUCGGACGUAACGCGUUAAGUAGACCGCCUGGGGAGUACAAGUG
rnacentral:rRNA from 1 species